UGGAUGAUUGGUACCUAGUGCCUCCAGAGAGCAAGGUGUUGGUACCAACGACGACCUGGACGUCGUAUGGCCCCAACCUGUUAAAUAUGAAUAUGGGUAUAUAGAUUAAUAAGCAAAGUAUUAGUACAACAUUAAUUUAAGGAGUGGUCUGGAAUUUAUGGUUACCCUGCAAGGCAAUGGGCUGCGGUCAAGAUCCACCUGUUGCCGAUGAUGGACCCUCCGCAGAAAUGAUUCCCUCGGCGACGUAAUGAUACUUGGGACCAACCGACGACUGAUAGGAGGAUGACAAUUGUUGGGCAGCCCAUUAUGCUCUGAUACAGAAAUGCGCAUUCGACUCUGCUUUAUACUGACCUGAGUUUAUUGCGUUUCACGUUGCAAUGUUGAUUGCACCCGAUUUCAUGUUUUUAUCAACCUAUCAUUGCGCCCAUCUCUCUUAACAGAUGAUUUGGGAUUGUCCAAGCACUGCUUUCCGUGAGUCCAGUUGCAACCUCAGAAGCAUGUAAUCUAUCGUAUCUGCAAAGAUCGAGAUUCGAUGCACUUUGGUGAUAGUGGUGCAAGGGGAAUCUGCGUUUUACCGUUUCCAGGAAAAUCCUACGCCCGCGUUAUCACUGCGUCUAUAAAUAAUUUAUCUAAAUAUAUAAUCACUAAAAAGUGAUUUAUAAUUUUGGAAUGAACUUUUAUCGGCGAUUAUGACAUGCUGUUCUUUGUACUUGCUGUUGCCUUCUUGACUAAACCUCUUGUUUAUAAACAUUUUGUGCCACGUUUACAAUAAUUUAAAACAUUAGCAAAAAAAUACCGCUUAAAGUAGAAUCAUUAACAAUACGAUGUUCUAUCCAAAAUUAUGUUGCAAAAUUGUACUCGUUACAUUUAUUAUUCCUAUAUAUAUAAUGAAGCUCUCGUUAACUAACGUUUUAUGAUUCAGAGUCCGGAAAGCAAUGUAUCAAAUAUUAAAUAAUACAUCAGACAUUUUUAUCGCACUUCAGUUAAUGAAAAAAGACGUUCUUGAGAUUUGUGCGAUUUUUGGAAAAGAUGCCACGACGACAGAAAGUAUUCAAAAUAUUUCAGUGAUUUCGGAAUAUGAAUUGAAAUUUUCUGACAGGGAAUGUCGAUCAAAAGAAUGUACAGAAGAUCUUACUCAAGUAUAAAGUGGAAAUUUUCCACUCAGAUCAUUUCAUAAUCGAGUUAAUUUAAUUAUUUCUCAGAAUGGCAAUAAUCGUAGCUCGCAGCAAAUGAAAGUAUCGUUAUUGAUUUUUGGUAUUGCAAAAUUUUUCACUUAUUCACUUUUUUUUUCAAAACUGUCGUUUAAAUUUUGAUCGUUUAUUUCCAGGCCGAAAUUCAACACCCAUUUGACAUUAAGAAGUCACCGAAAAUGUUUCAAAAACUGAGAUGCAUUUAAAGUGUUCAUUGAGGACAGUUCAUAGAAUCAAUUCGACAAAGGAAAUAUUAGGUUCAACUAUAAUACAGGGGCAAGCUUAAUUAAUGACUAGGGUGAGAGAGAGCGUAGUCAUCGAUGACUUUCUUGAUCCAGUCGAGGUAGGUGUAAACGCGAGUGAAGACAUCAGGAUAUCCACGAGCACAAGGGUAUCCCCAGGAC